AACUGAUUCCAGGUACAAAAUCACCAAAGAUAGAAAGAAAAUUAAUUCUCAAAAGCUAGAUAAAUCGAUUGAAUGGAAAAAUCCAUCUUUAACAAAAUACAGAUCCAUCAAUAAUUAGGACAAUAAAAACAUCUUUUUUAAAUCGACAAAGUAGCCAAAAGGAACAUAAAAGGAGCCACCUUAUCCUCAGUACAACAAGAGAUUUGGAAUAAUAACAAGGACAUCACUGACACUGCCGAUUAGGAAGGAAUCCAAGAGAGAAUGUUGCGAGCAAGCAAAGGUGCUACGGCGUGGCUCUCUGGAAGCGAUGGGUCUGCAAGCGGUGGAUGCGAUGGUGUCGAAGUUGAGGAGAUGAGUUGAAUCAGAUAUGGGUUUCUACCUUGAUAAAUUGAGGCUUGCCGAGAGAGGGAGACAAUGGUGAAACGUAUUUAGUGAGAUUAACUGGUUGUACAAGUUGGGUAGUGUGAUUCAACGAGGGACACCAAUUGUAGAUGGAUUAUGUCUGCCAUGAAGGCAUUGAAGGAGUGGAAUGGUGCUCUGCGGUGAGAGAAGGUGAGCUACGUCUCAGUUUC
rnacentral:misc_RNA from 1 species